UCCCCAGUGGCUCAUAUGGUAAAGAAUCUGCCUGCAAUGCAGGAGACCAAGGUUCAAUCCCUAGGUGGGGAA
rnacentral:tRNA from 1 species